UGGGGAAUAUUGCACAAUGGGCGCAAGCCUGAUGCAGCCAUGCCGCGUGUGUGAAGAAGGCCUUCGGGUUGUAAAGCACUUUCAGCGGGGAGGAAGGCGAUAAGGUUAAUAACCUCAUCGAUUGACGUUACCCGCAGAAGAAGCACCGGCUAACUCCGUGCCAGCAGCCGCGGUAAUACGGAGGGUGCAAGCGUUAAUCGGAAUUACUGGGCGUAAAGCGAACGCAGGCGGUCUGUCAAGUCGGAUGUGAAAUCCCCGGGCUCAACCUGGGAACUGCAUUCGAAACUGGCAGGCUAGAGUCUUGUAGAGGGGGGUAGAAUUCCAGGUGUGGCGAUGAAAUGCGUAGAGAUCUGGAGGAAUACCGGUGGCGAAGGCGGCCCCCUGGACAAAGACUGACGCUCAGGUGCGAAAGCGUGGGGAGCAAACAGG
rnacentral:rRNA from 1 species